AGAAUAAACCACCCAAGGAAAGUGUACGGAGUGUUUGGUGGCGACUCCUUCGUAUUAAUGCUGAAUUUGGACGUCCUAAGUUUUCUCUUCCACCCCUGUUUGUGAAGAAUCUGGGGAGUUUGAGAACCCAGCAGCUUUUCACUGAGCAAGGAACUGAUCACACUGAAGUCUCCUGUCCAGUGGUCCCCCUCCCAUAGCCACAGUUCACAGUCAAGCUGACACUGCUGCCUUCUCAGGCCUAGGAACGGCAAUGGCUUUUCUUCUCAUGUUGCUUCAGGGAACAUGGGUUCGAGCCCUGGUCCAGGAGGAUCCCACAUGCUGUGGAGCAACUAAGCCCAUGCACCACAACUACUGAGCCUGCGCUCUAGAGCCUGUGAGCCACAACUACUGAGCCCAUGAGCCACAACUACUGAAGCCCACACACCUAAAGCCCGUGCUCCGUGACAAGAGAAGCCACCGCAAUGAGAAGCCUGUGCACCGCAGCGAAGAGUAGCCCCCGCUCGCCGCAACUCGAGAAAGCCCGUACACAGCAACAAAGACCCAACACAACCAAAAAUAAAUAAAUUAAUUUUUUAAAAAAAGCUUAAGAAAAAUAACAAUAAAGACUUUGUUUGGACUUAGAG